AAUUGAAGAGUUUGAUCAUGGCUCAGAUUGAACGCUGGCGGCAGGCCUAACACAUGCAAGUCGAACGGUAACAGGAAGAAGCUUGCUUCUUUGCUGACGAGUGGCGGACGGGUGAGUAAUGUCUGGGAAACUGCCUGAUGGAGGGGGAUAACUACUGGAAACGGUAGCUAAUACCGCAUAACGUCGCAAGACCAAAGAGGGGGACCUUCGGGCCUCUUGCCAUCGGAUGUGCCCAGAUGGGAUUAGCUAGUAGGUGGGGUAACGGCUCACCAAGGCGACGAUCCCUAGCUGGUCUGAGAGGAUGACCAGCCACACUGGAACUGAGACACGGUCCAGACUCCUACGGGAGGCAGCAGUGGGGAAUAUUGCACAAUGGGCGCAAGCCUGAUGCAGCCAUGCCGCGUGUAUGAAGAAGGCCUUCGGGUUGUAAAGUACUUUCAGCGGGGAGGAAGGGAGUAAAGUUAAUACCUUUACUCAUUGACGUUACCCGCAGAAGAAGCACCGGCUAACUCCGUGCC
rnacentral:rRNA from 1 species